rnacentral:tRNA from 1 species
GCCUGUGUGGCUCAGUUGGUUGAGCACCUGACUUCAGCUCAGGUCAUGAUUUCAUGGCUUGUGAGUUCAAGCUCCAUAUCAGGCU